UACAGAGGUCUCAAGCGUUGUUCGGAUUCAUUGGGCGUAAAGGGUGCGUAGGUGGCGCCGUAAGUCAGGUGUGAAAUUUCGGAGCUUAACUCCGAAACUGCAUUUGAUACUGCGGUGCUUGAGGACUGGAGAGGAGACUGGAAUUUACGGUGUAGCAGUGAAAUGCGUAGAGAUCGUAAGGAAGACCAGUGGCGAAGGCGGGUCUCUGGGCAGUAACUGACGCUGAGGAGCGAAAGCGUGGGGAGCAAACAGG
rnacentral:rRNA from 1 species